rnacentral:lncRNA from 10 species
AGAAAGAGAUCUAGAUGCAUUUGCCUUUAGCAGUGUAGUUCUGAAUACAUUGAUGACCACCCACUGUGCUGGGACAUGCAAGAGGUCAAGGAUGCAUUCCAGGAAAGUUCUAUAAAAAUAUACCAUCAACUCCAACCUGAUAUUUGACCUAGCCAUGGAAAACCUCAUUGGCUCCUCACUGGAUCAGACCAUAAAAAUGAUCCAGGAAUGAAAAUCUAAGAUAAAUUCCCACCACUUCAAGAUGUUCUUAUACAAGUCAACAGUCUAGCAGAUCAGCCAGUCUCUUUCAUCAUCAAGCAGACAUACUCAAGAAAGAGGAAUAGUGAAGUGAAAUAUACAGAAGCAUGUUCAAGUUCAUCUGUUGAAUCUGGAAUUGUGAAUAGUGACAAUAUUGAGAAAAAUACUGACUCCAAUCUGCAAACUUCAACUUCAUUUGAGCCACAUUUCAAAAAGAAAAAAAAGAAAAAUUUGAAACAUUAAGGGAAAACAGUUGGGUAAAAGAUCCAUUUGCUUUUCGACACCCUGAAUCAAUAAUUGAGCUAAACUUGGUGCCUGAAGAAGAGAAUGAAUUAUUGCAGCUUAGUUCUUCAUAUACAUUGAAGAAUGAUUAUGAAACCUUAAGUUUAUCAGCAUUUUGGAUGAAGGUAAAGGAAGACUUUCCAUUGUUAAGUAGAAAGAGUGUCCUGCUAUUGCUACCAUUCACAACAACUAGUUUGUGUGAACUAGGGUUUUCCAUCUUAACGCAGUUAAAAACAAAGGAAAGAAAUGGGCUGAAUUGUGCAGCAGUUAUGCGGGUAGCAUUAUCUUCCUGUGUUCCAGACUGGAAUGAACUUAUGAACAGGCAAGCACACCCAUCAUAGUAAAUAAAAAUCUUACCUAGC